ACGUAGGGGGCAAGCGUUGUCCGGAAUGAUUGGGCGUAAAGGGCGCGUAGGCGGCCUGGUAAGUCUGGAGUGAAAGUCCUGCUUUUAAGGUGGGAAUUGCUUUGGAUACUGCUGGUCUUGAGUGCAGGAGAGGUAAGUGGAAUUCCCGGUGUAGCGGUAAAAUGCGUAGAGAUCGGGAGGAACACCGAUGGCGAAGGCGACUUACUGGACUAUAACUGACGCUGAGCCGCGAAAGUGUGGGGAGCAAACAG
rnacentral:rRNA from 1 species